AUCAUAAUAUAAAUAGACGGUGAUGAUGAAUAAGGAUAUAAGUGUCCAAUUCUUCUUACAAAGUCCAUAUAUCUCCUGUGUCAUCUUCAUUUCAUUUUCAUUCUUUGGAUUUGAUAUCUUGCUCACCAACACCCCCCCUAAAGUUGGAGGGUGGUGAAGCAAUUCCCAACUUGCCCAAAAUGUAAGUCGGACCAGAAAGAGGCUUGGUGAACACAUCGGCGAUUUGGGAUUCUGAUGGAACAUAGCUCAGAGAAAUAAGUCCAACGAGGUAUUGUUGACGCACGAAAUGACAAUCAACGUCAACGUGCUUAGUACGCUCGUGAAAUACUGGGUUUUUGGCAAUAUGUACGGCAGCUUAGCUGUCGGAAUGGAGAGGUACCAGCAAUGAAGGUGGGACUGAGAAGUCAUCGAGAAGUCGAACCAUCCAAGUGAUUUCAGCCACAAUCCGACGCAUUGAGUGAUACUCAGCUUCAGCAGAGGAUAGAGACACCCAAGAUUGCUUUUUUGAUUUCCAUGAAACCGGAGAUCCACCCAGAGUUAUGAAGAACCCACUGAUUGGGCAACGUGAAUCAACACAUCGUCCCUAAUCAGAGUCACAAAAUGCGAUUAAAUUGAAAGUAGAGGAAGAAGAAAGAAAAAGCCCUAAACUUGGAUUGAGCAAAAGAUAACAAAGACAUCGGAAAACUGCUUUAAGAUGGGGUUGUCGCAGUGCUUGCAUAAACUGACUCAGAUGUUGCAAAGCGAAAGAAAGGUUGGGUCGGGUAUUUUUAAGAAAAUUGAGUUUGCCUAAAAGCUGUCUAUAAACCGUGGGAUUUGAUAAAAGAGUACAAGUAUUGAGUUGAAGCUUAGAAGCUGGAUCGAGGGGAGAAGAAACUGGUUUCAAAUCGAGACAAUCAAACUCGGACAACAAAUCUAAGUUGGAAAAGUUGAGAUCUAUUGCAUUGGCCAAAUCUCUCAUCGAGUUCAUUCCAGAUAUCCCUUGCAGUCUUAGAGUAAAGAACACUUUCAAUUAUCUCUUUAGAUAGCGAGUUCAAGAGCCAAGAGAUCACCAUGUCAUUGCACCUAGUCCAAGCCUUGAACGAUUCUGAAGCAGAAUUAGGUUGGACAAUGGUGCCAUCGAUGAAUCCUAUUUUAUUUUUAGCAGACAAUGUGAUGAGGAUUCCCCUGCGCCAACCUCCAUAACCUUUCCCAUCAAAAAUGGAGUUCACCAAGAUCAUGCCAGGGGAGUCAGAAGGAUGAAGGUAAAAAGAAUGCGUGGAAUCAAAAGUUCCAGUGCUUGAUCCAAAUUGAACAGUAGGAGCGAUGAUAGGUGGAUUUUUAGGAGAAAAUUCUAUGGUUUCUAUCGUGGAAUUCACCAUGAUUGAAGUAUAGGAAAGUUGAACAAAUAUUGAAAGAAAAGAGAAAAGCAAUGUUGAAGCAGAUCGUAGCCUUAAAUCUCUGCUACCAUGAUGGAAAAAUAAGAAGAAAUGUUGUGAAAAUUUGUUGUGUACAUCUGAUAAUUAUCUGUACAAGAAUUUAUAAUACAAAACUAAAAGUUGGAACCAAUCCUAUGCAUACAUUUGUCCUA